GACGAACGCUGGCGGCAGGCCUAACAAAUGCAAGUCGAGCGGAGCGGCAGACGGGGGAGUAAUGCCUAGGAAUCUGCCUGGUAGUGGGGGAUAACGUCAGGAAACGGGCGCUAAUACCGCAUACAAUAAGAUGAGGCUAGGUCGGAAUAGCUAGUUGGUGGGGUAAAGGCCUACCAAGGCGAAGAUCCGUAACUGGUCUGAGAGGAUGAUCAGUCACACUGGAACUGAGCAACGGUCCAGACUCCUACGGGAGGCAGCCGUGGGGAAUAUUGGACCAUUGUCGCAAGCCUGAUCCAGCCAUGCCGCGUGGUUGAAGAAGGUCUUCGGAUUGUAAAGCACUUUAAGUUGGGAGGCGUUACCAACAGAAUAAGCACCGUCUAACUUCGUGCCAGCAGCCGCGGUAAUUC
rnacentral:rRNA from 1 species